GAUGAACGCUGGCGGCGUGCCUAAUACAUGCAAGUCGAGCGAAGCGGGGACGGGUGAGUAACACGUGGAUAACCUCCUAUAAGACUGGGAUAACUUCGGGAAAACGGAGCUAAACCGGAUACUUAUCGAUGGAUCCGCUGUGCAGUUGCUAGUUGGUAAGGUAACGGCUUACCAAGGCAACGAUGCAUAGCCGACAUGAGAGGGUGAUCGGAAACACUGGAACUGAGAAACGGUCCAGACUCCUACGUGAGGCAGCAGUAGGGAAUCUUCCGCAAUGGGCGAAAGCCUUACGGAGCAACGCCGCGUGAGUGAUGAAGGUCUUCGGAUCGUAAAACUCUGGUAUUAGGGAAGCGGUACCUAAUCAGAAAGCCACGGCUAACUACGUGCCAGCAGCCGCGGUAAUAC
rnacentral:rRNA from 1 species